rnacentral:rRNA from 1 species
UACGUAGGGGGCAAGCGUUGUCCGGAAUCAUUGGGCGUAAAGAGCGUGUAGGCGGCCCGAUAAGUCCGCCGUGAAAGUCCAGGGCUCAACCCUGGAAUGCCGGUGGAAACUGUCGGGCUAGAGUCCGGAAGAGGCGAGUGGAAUUCCUGGUGUAGCGGUGAAAUGCGCAGAUAUCAGGAGGAACACCAAUGGCGAAGGCAGCUCGCUGGGACGGUACUGACGCUGAGGAGCGAAAGCGUGGGGAGCGAACAGG